rnacentral:rRNA from 1 species
UACGUAGGGGGCGAGCGUUAUCCGGAAUUACUGGGCGUAAAGCGCACGCAGGCGGUUCGCCAAGUUUGGAGUGACAGUUGUCGGCUCAACCGACAAAGGACUUCAAAAACUGGUGAACUUGAGGACGAGAGAGGAACAUGGAACUCCAGGUGUAGUAGUGAAAUGCGUAGAUAUCUGGAAAAACACCAAUGGCGAAGGCAAUGUUCUGGCUCGUUUCUGACGCUCAGGUGCGAAAGCCAGGGGAGCGAACGGG